GCUGGGCGUGGUGGCUCACGCCUGUAAUCCCGGCACUUUGGGAGGCUGAGGCGGGUGGAUUACCUGAGGUCAGGAGUUCCAGACCAGCCUGGCCAACAUGGUGAAACCCCGUCUCUA
ensembl:misc_RNA Metazoa_SRP Metazoan signal recognition particle RNA